UUUGCGAUUCCCAGAAGCACCUUAACGAUUAAAAAUGAAUGAUCGAAGCGCGAGCCGCCGCUGAACGUUUCACUUCGGCGUUUCAAUGAGUGACAGACAUCAAACCAGAGAACCGGGCCUCGCCCUCCUCCCCCGCGAGGGAACGACCUCGCCGGUUCAGCCUUUUAAUUGCAGGUCGCCGGGAAGCCGCAGCGCUCCCUCGCUGCCCGUUUUUCCGAUCAGCCCUCCGGAUUCUUCCCCAAUCAAACGUCCGUUAAUAAUAAAUGCCCUUGUGCCAUUCCAUUAUAUUGUGGGUUCUGAAAAUUUAAAAUAAGGGUGAUGCAAUAUUAAUCGCCUCCCGUCGUACAUAAAAAGGGCAGAAGGCAGCUCAGGCGGCAUCCUUCCCCCGCCGCCCGGUCGGACUUGGGCCGGCGCUCUCCGCCGCACGGCUCCCGGUGCCGCCGGGCGCGGGGGGCUUCGGGCGGCCGGUUUCGCACAAACAACCCAGGUUUGUGCCUUGCUCUGCCCAGGUAUCACAUACCGGACCUGAUCACUUCAUUUGCGGUUUCACUUCAGAGGUCAGGUUUCACUCAUCCCGAGCUUGCAAGGAGGAGGUUUGCCCUCCCUGGGAGAUACGUCCAGUUUGGGAUGAAAAACGUUUCUUAGGAAAGCAGUUUCUGCUGGAGCUGAUCUGUGCCGAGAGCCCAGCCUUUGCUCCAGGCCCCUGCGCUUGGGGCUGUGGUCCACGUGGCUGGAGUGAGGAUUAGCACCUGCACCCCAGAGAUGUGGGACGCCAGGGCGAGGUGCUGCCACGGCACUGGGGCCAGAGGGCUGGGGGUCCCAGCACCCCGGGCAGCCCAGCCCAGCCCAGCCCAGCCCAGGUAAGCCCGGCUCAGCAAGGGAGCAGCGGUCAGAGCAGCCCCAGGACAGUCACCUGCCUUCGAGCAGGGCUUCCAGGGUGAGCAGGGGACCCCGAGAAGGGAGCUCUGGCUGGGCAGCCUGGCAGGUCCCCAGCAGCCCGUACCACUGCCGGCCCAUCGCCACCCAAACGAGCCCGGCCCUCAGCCCAGCGCAGAGACGGGACUGUGCCCUCCGUCACCCGCCGGUUCAACUGGACCAGCCCGGGGGUGCUAAGAGCUUGUGGCCAUAGGCUUCAGGUGGGCAUUCACAGCAACAGGAGCUCUGUGGAGACUCACUGAUUCAAGAGAAAAUGCCGCUUUACACCAACGCAAAGCAGAAGGAAUUAAUUCCAGUCGUACAGCUUUGCUAAUUAUUUUCAGAACAGAGUGUUUUAAAGCAAUUAGCAAAUUUGUCUUUAAUGACACUAGUUGUGCUUUGCAGUUUGCCUGGAAAUGUUAGAUACAAAUUUAGUCCAUCAUCAAGACAUGGUUUAGACUUUGUCACUUUAAGCAAAUUUAGACCUAUAUAUGGAGACACAUGUCACAACAUUUUCAGUAGAAUUUUAUAUGGAGGAGCAAAACAAUACACAGAGGAAAAUGAAAUGCUUUGACUGUUUUUAAAUCCAAAGAGAAUUAAAAAUGUACAAUAAUGCUACAUAAAUCUGUAUCAGCUAUUGUAAAAUAGUACUGACAUGUGGUAAAUGUCUUCAACCUGCCUGGUGAAAAUGAAGCUCCUAAAUGCACAGUGUAAAGUAGAGGUGGUCUCAAAACUGCUGAACCCCCACAUCCACCUCUCAGGCAGCGGAGUUUGUGGGUGCUCAGGGUCGGCUCGGUGCCUGACACUUGUCUUCACUGUACGUGGCUCGAGAAGGCCAGUGCUGGGGUCAGAGCAUGCUGUCAAAACAGAACAGGCUGCGUGGAAAAUGACCUUUUGGCUCAUCUGCAGAUUUGCUACCUUUUCUGUCAGGGGCUUGCUGAGCAUUCAUGAAAUGUUUCUGGGACAUAAAUGUAAUAGUAAUAAGUUCAGGAAUAAGUAACAGUUAUCCACUGCCCUGUUGUGUCACACCAAGAUGAGCGAGGGUCUCCACAAGCCUUAUGUGUAGAGGGAAAUACCGUUGCUGGAUGCUGAGGGCUGAAGGGUCUAGACCUGCGCUGGGCAGUGAUGGGGCUGCACCUGGGACACCUGGGCUCUGACCCCCCCAUCGGGGUUACUUCUUUCCUCGGUGCCUUUAGUCCAUGCCUGCGAGGCUUAAAGCGUUAUGUGUUUUCAUUCCCUCCUGGUGCACAAGGGGAACUGGGAACCGACUGCCUGCACCAGCUGUGUCACCCAGCCCUUGCCGAUGGCUGCCUGGGGAGCUCAUGGGGGGCGAGGGGGGGCAGCCCUGCCAGCGCCCGGGCACAUCCAGCGCUGCGCUGCUGCCGGGACCAGACACCCCCCGCACCGCCUCCUACCCUGCCUGGUUCGCAGUGGCAGAGCCUGAUCCUGACGUGGGUUGUUAUUUACGAACGUUUGAAGAGCACGAUAUCUCUCCAUUUACUCACUGUCAGAACAGAAAAGCUGGGAGGGAAACCAAGCCAUCAUCCACCAAACGAGCAAAGCGUUUGGGUAGUGCAAGGGAACUAAAUAAUUCAGGUCCUGUUUAAAAGUGUGGUGUUUUGUAAUUUCAGUGGAACCAUCUUGGUUUGACUCCCUACAUCCUCGCACUUGAAGGAGAUGCUCCCACCAGGCAGGUGAGCCGAGCUUCUCUUUCCAGGAGAGAAAGAAGCAGGGAGCAGGUGGGGAGGUUAAUCACACUGGCAGCAUUUGCUUGCUUUUUAAACUUGCAUGAGUUUGGAGAUCAAAAUGGAGAGGAGAUGUAGGGCAGAUGGAUUUGCAGGGAAACCUUUGAUUUUUCUCCUCCUGAGGCUGGUGUGUCUAAGGCAUGCCUUCUGCGAGUUUACCGGGGCCCUUAUUUACACAGGGUGAGCCCUACUGCUGGAUCCCGAAGGCACUGGGGAGGUUGCCAGAGGGAGGACCGCGGUACGGGGGGCAAAUCCUCCCCCCGGGUGCCCCGCUGGCAGGGGCCGAGAGGCAGCACCCUGGGCUGCCUGGGGCAGAAGCACGCUCCAGGGCUGCUGCUGCUUGGCUCCGUUAAGAGCCGCCCCAGGGCCCCGGCAGCCCCAAACCGGGUGGAUGCGACUGGGGGUAUGACAGCAGGGGCCACCUCGGAGGGACCGCCAUCACCAUCACCCUCUGAGCUGCCUUUGCCUGUGCAAGCAAGAGUUAGCAUCUUCCUAAACAGACCUCUGCCGAACUGUGUGCACAAAAAAUAAGGUGCUGCCCAGGCGAACAGACCCGUUGUCCGGUCCCGCUGCACUGAUUCCUCCCGGACAGCGUGGGAAGCUGUCGUGUGAUGCUCUGCACCCGCAGGAGGGCUCGGGGGGAGCUGGGUCUGGUGCCGCUGGAGGUGAUGCUCCUUGGUCUCCCCUGGCACAGACCCCUUGGCCUCGCAGCAAGGGGUCCCACCACCUUCACGUUUGCAUCUUGAAGUCGCUUCCAAACAGCAGCUGGAGCCGUUCUUCAGGCUGGGGAAAGGUGGGAGAGGGCCAGCAUGGGAAGCGCAACACCCACUCCCCAGGGCUCCCCUGCAGCACACGGCCAGAGAGGCAGAUGGAUGCUGCGGAGGCUCUGGUGUAUUUGGGCUUGCCUUGUGUUACCAGUUCUGGGAAGAAGAGACAAGGAAGGAUCGCAGCUGAUCAUGCUCUUCAGAUGUGCAGCAAGCGGGGCCACGUGCGGGAGCUGCAGUAUUUAUGGCACGCAGAGAACAUCCCUUUCAUCUUCCGUGUUUGAAAUCCUCCUCCAGAGCUACCUGUGGGACAGUGCUGCACAGAGCAUGCCCAAAUACACUGUAUAAUUCACACAACAAAAAACACAUAAAAGGAUGUUAGGCCUAGAAGACAAACCCACUAAAAAAUCAGGAAAUGAUUUGGGGAGAAGGAUUAAAUUUUCAAGACCUCUGCAGGAUGCAUAGCUAUGGAAGCUUCAGCUGAGGACGCCACGGUCACCUGUUGGUUGCCAGACCCUAAGGUAUUUUUGCAAGUCACCUGGCAGGUCUCUCCUUUGCGUGCAGUGUACCUACAGCUCACCGCAAGCCAGCCACCACCAGACGGGCUCCGCCGGAGCAGCCCGGAGCUUGCACCAACGCACCCCCGGGCCAGAGCCCGAGCCCUGCGUCUGCCGCGGUCAGCGCUGGCUCCUGCGGGACACGCCAGCGCCUGCCAGGAGGACCCUGCACACCACAGCCCAGCACAAAGGCGGCCAGCUCGUUUCUCACACAAGCCCCGUGCCGGUGGGGUGCCGGCCGUGCUGCCCUGAGCCCGGGGGCUGAGCUGGCCCCUGAGCUCGCCAGCCCACUGCCCCGCACCGCUCCGAGGGAGCCUGGCGCUUACAUGUUCCUUCAGCAGCUCUGUGAGCAAGAACAAAACAUGUCAAGGAUCUGAGCCAGAGAUGAUACUUAAAGUUUGAUAUCGCGGUUGUUUCAGAAUACGUCUGUUUUUCCCCAAAUGCCAAAACAGAUUAAUCUACAACCGUUACCACAUUAUGGCCUGCGUGCAGUUUUCUGCCUAUAAAAAAAAAGCAAAACUCAGAGAUCCUCCUUUAAGUAAUGUAGUGAGAACAUAUAAAAGCAUCCGAACUUCUGUUUAUUGCUUGGUUGGUUUUAUGCUCUGCGACUCCCCAGCCGGCUGAUGGCUGUGGCUCUGGGGACUCACAAAGGGACAAGCAGCACGCAGGCACUUUUUUUGCAGCACGUGUCCAGUCUGCUCCAGCCGUGGCUGAAACGUGCCUCGUUGCCUGCAGGGAGGAUCUCCUUCUGUCACCAGCAUGGCAACUGCUUCUGGCCUGCUCCCGUCUCUCCACACUUCAUCGCACCAUGUACUGCCCGUUCCUCCAAGGCUGGCCUCUCCUCCCGAAGCCUUGUUUUCCCAUGGAGCAGAGGAACGAGUGUGUGGGUCUCCCUGGGGUAGCAACAGGAUGGGAGGUUUAGGGACGGUGAAUUUGAGUAGGCAACAAGGAUGAGCUCUCUUGGAUCCCUUUGCUGGAAGAGGAACCUCAGAGGCGGUUGCGAAUGGGAUGGAGCUGGAGGGGGAGCUGGGGCAUGGCUCUAAAGGGAGCACCGGGGGGUUGUUUUGACCAAGUACUGAAGCCCACAGGGUUGAAAUGCCUCACAACUCAAAAUAACUCUAAAGACAGAAGGAAAUAUUUAGGAAAAAAAUUGAUAUUUCUUUAAAUGCUGGACUUUUCUAUGAUUCUAUGGGGUCAGUCCAGGCCAAAGCUGUUUGGAGGAGCAGAGUGGCAGCAAUGCGCACAGCCCCUGUCCCCCUGCAAACGGCGCACGUGAGCCAGUCAUGUAGUAUUAGCGGUUCCACGUUGCAGUCGGGUUGGAUGCCACGUGCAGGCACGUUAACAUGGAAAACACAUUAGCCCCCACCAAGGAAACCUGAGCAAAUUGGCCAUGAGACGUGGUGUCCUGGGAUUUAACAUCGAUGCCAUUCCCUGGGAUGCCACGGCGGAGCUGAGGUGCAGCCCGAGGAGCAGGUUUGCUCCAAUUCACCGCAGUCCCAGGCAGCCAAAAGAACACCGGAUUGGGAGCACUCCUCUCGAACGGCAUGGAUCCUGUCAUCCUGCUGCAGCCCCCCCAUGUCCCCACGCUUCAGCCCCUGAGUGGGGGCUGCCGUGGGUGGCUGCGCGUGCCAUGGCCGCUGCAGCUCCCGUCCCACUGCGGCUCCCGUCCCGCUGCCUCCACCAGCCUCGUCCCCCUCCGGGGGCAGCCCCACGGACACUGACACCCUCCCGUACCGCCGAAUGAGCGGGAGAGCACGUCUGGCCUGUCCCUCAGCAGACAGCUUCUAUCCUAAAACCGCCUCA